CAGAGAGGGGAGCACAGCUGAUUGGUUCAGCAGCUGAGGUCACAGGGGCUUAAACUAGCGCCCCCUGGCGAACAAGAUCAUUAUUUAACAGCAGGGUCUCUGUUAGCUUGGUGCUAAACCAAACUCUAAAGCCACAAAAUGUUCCACGACCGUUUGGAAAAAGGUGAUAUUUAGACAAAUAUUUUCUAAAGGAAAUUGUAUCAAAAAGUUCGGAGUAGUUUAACCUCUGGCCUCUAGGGGCGCUGUUCAGCCGGAUUAAAUGCUGCCGUUUCCUGACCCAGUGAACCUGAUGUUCCGUCUGACCCGCCCCGAAAUCUUACUGGACUCAAACCGCCAUCCAGUCAGACCUGAACUGGAAAAUUUUCUCUUCUGGGUCAGAAUGAGAUUUGAUUUCAUCAAGCUACUGAGGAUGAAGACGACGAAGAGCUGGAAAACGGCAAAGUACGAAAGAGAGGCGGAGCUAACAGCUAGCUAGGCUAACAGUCGGCUAGCAGCAGCUGAUUGGAGUCGGCUUUAGGUUCUGCAGAACCGAUUGGGUUCUUAAAAACAUUUACCGUCAAAACAGAAUUUGGAGGAAAAAUCUGAAACACAGAGGAGAAAGUCUAACUUCUUAUCUGGUUAUACUUUAUUACUUGAUAAAAAUAAUCUGACCUUCCUGCGCAUUUUUAAUCUCGACUUGUUACAUAAUUAAAUAAAUGAACAUAUACAAUCUAAAUAAAUAAAAUAUUUUAAAUAAAUAAUUCUAAGCAAAAAUAUAAAAAGAAAAAUCCUUAAAAAGACAAGAUAUGAGCUGCUGCCAAAGAGCUGCUGCUAGAACCAACACCAGCCUAAUGGAUGGAUGGACAGAGGGAUGGAUGAACAAAUGAACAGGUGGGCAGAUGGAUGGACUACCAGAGCGAGAAUUUACCUGCAUCCACGUCAGCUAGAUUAUCAGACCGUCCCAGAAAGCAGCAAGAGAGGAAACACAAAGCAGAGCAAGGUCAGAGGCUGAAGGACAUGCAGAGGUCACAGAGACAGAGGACAGCAGGCUAAAUCAUCUGGUUCCUGUUCUGGAUCUGCUUCCUCCUGGUUUAAAGGUCAGAGGUCAGGUAAGUUUCUGUCCUCCGCUAACGGCAGCGCUGGUCUGUCUGAGUGGCCCUGAACGCACCGCAGAGCAGGACGACCCACCGGGCCGCCGCUGCACCAGAACCAGAAUAGUUCUGGUCUGUGGUCCGGCUGCGUUGCCACGGUAACCCGGCCCCGUGUAUUUUUAGAGCGGAGGAAUGUGCUUCCUGCUGGAGCCUCCAGCUGCUGCUGAACCGGACCAGAACCGGACCAGAACGGGCCGGUACCAAGCCCCAAACAUGGAGUGAAGAAAGAACAACUUAUGUACUAAUGUUAAUAAAAAUAUAGAAAUAAAUCUGUAAAAAAA